ensembl:lncRNA
UUCUAUUAGAUUCAUUUGUUAAGAAGAGGUAUACUCCACUUUGUGCUUACAGGACAUGAUCCAGCUCCCAUUGAAGUCAACAGGAGUCUCUUCAUUUAUUUCAAUGGGAAAUGGAACAGAUCCAUAGUGCUCUGCCUUACUAAUUGAAGGAAGGCCUAGUGAUUCAUAUUUUGGAACAAGGAAGCACAUCUCUUGACUUAAAUGUAGCAACAAUAUGUAGUCGAAUAGCUGAAAUGAAGGGUAUGCUGGACAAAGAGGAACAGGAUAAUAUUGAACUACAGAGAGAUAAAGCUUUAUUGGUAGAUCUUGUAUCUAGUUUACAAAACCAGCUUGUUGGGAGGGACAGUGAACUCUCGCAAACAUCUACUAAGAUGCUGCAGCUUGAUCAGGAUAUUUCAGCACUGAAAACAAAGCAUGUGUUACGUCAGUCUCUUCAGUCAGAAAAAUGGCAGGAAAUCUCCAAAAUGGCAAGCUCGAUGAGGAAACUUACCAAAUCAAUGACAGAUGUAGCAGAUAGCAUGGGGAAAUAUUAGAUUGGGUGACACAAUUAGAGGUGCUAUGCUGUAGAUAGAAAAUUAAUCCUUUAAGUACAACAUGACUUUAAUGUCAGUGGGCUAGUCAUCUUUAUGAUCACUUUUGUUUUUAACAAAAUUGAUUUCAGAGAUUUAAAAUGCUAUGAAAAUACUUGUGAUGGAGCAGUUUCUUUUUCACUCUACCACAUAGACAUGAGAUUGUCUUAUGAAGCCAAUAAACAAUAUAGAUUUGGUUCCUUAAAUGUAUUU